rnacentral:rRNA from 1 species
GUUAAGCGACUAAGCGUACACGGUGGAUGCCCUGGCAGUCAGAGGCGAUGAAGGACGUGCUAAUCUGCGAUAAGCGUCGGUAAGGUGAUAUGAACCGUUAUAACCGGCGAUUUCCGAAUGGGGAAACCCAGUGUGUUUCGACACACUAUCAUUAACUGAAUCCAUAGGUUAAUGAGGCGAACCGGGGGAACUGAAACAUCUAAGUACCCCGAGGAAAAGAAAUCAACCGAGAUUCCCCCAGUAGCGGCGAGCGAACGGGGAGGAGCCCAGAGCCUGAAUCAGUGUGUGUGUUAGUGGAAGCGUCUGGAAAGGCGCGCGAUACAGGGUGACAGCCCCGUACACAAAAAUGCACAUGCUGUGAGCUCGAUGAGUAGGGCGGGACACGUGGUAUCCUGUCUGAAUAUGGGGGGACCAUCCUCCAAGGCUAAAUACUCCUGACUGACCGAUAGUGAACCAGUACCGUGAGGGAAAGGCGAAAAGAACCCCGGCGAGGGGAGUGAAAAAGAACCUGAAACCGUGUACGUACAAGCAGUGGGAGCACGCUUAGGCGUGUGACUGCGUACCUUUUGUAUAAUGGGUCAGCGACUUAUAUUCUGUAGCAAGGUUAACCGAAUAGGGGAGCCGAAGGGAAACCGAGUCUUAACUGGGCGUUAAGUUGCAGGGUAUAGACCCGAAACCCGGUGAUCUAGCCAUGGGCAGGUUGAAGGUUGGGUAACACUAACUGGAGGACCGAACCGACUAAUGUUGAAAAAUUAGCGGAUGACUUGUGGCUGGGGGUGAAAGGCCAAUCAAACCGGGAGAUAGCUGGUUCUCCCCGAAAGCUAUUUAGGUAGCGCCUCGUGAAUUCAUCUCCGGGGGUAGAGCACUGUUUCGGCAAGGGGGUCAUCCCGACUUACCAACCCGAUGCAAACUGCGAAUACCGGAGAAUGUUAUCACGGGAGACACACGGCGGGUGCUAACGUCCGUCGUGAAGAGGGAAACAACCCAGACCGCCAGCUAAGGUCCCAAAGUCAUGGUUAAGUGGGAAACGAUGUGGGAAGGCCCAGACAGCCAGGAUGUUGGCUUAGAAGCAGCCAUCAUUUAAAGAAAGCGUAAUAGCUCACUGGUCGAGUCGGCCUGCGCGGAAGAUGUAACGGGGCUAAACCAUGCACCGAAGCUGCGGCAGCGACGCUUAUGCGUUGUUGGGUAGGGGAGCGUUCUGUAAGCCUGUGAAGGUGUGCUGUGAGGCAUGCUGGAGGUAUCAGAAGUGCGAAUGCUGACAUAAGUAACGAUAAAGCGGGUGAAAAGCCCGCUCGCCGGAAGACCAAGGGUUCCUGUCCAACGUUAAUCGGGGCAGGGUGAGUCGACCCCUAAGGCGAGGCCGAAAGGCGUAGUCGAUGGGAAACAGGUUAAUAUUCCUGUACUUGGUGUUACUGCGAAGGGGGGACGGAGAAGGCUAUGUUGGCCGGGCGACGGUUGUCCCGGUUUAAGCGUGUAGGCUGGUUUUCCAGGCAAAUCCGGAAAAUCAAGGCUGAGGCGUGAUGACGAGGCACUACGGUGCUGAAGCAACAAAUGCCCUGCUUCCAGGAAAAGCCUCUAAGCAUCAGGUAACAUCAAAUCGUACCCCAAACCGACACAGGUGGUCAGGUAGAGAAUACCAAGGCGCUUGAGAGAACUCGGGUGAAGGAACUAGGCAAAAUGGUGCCGUAACUUCGGGAGAAGGCACGCUGAUAUGUAGGUGAAGUCCCUCGCGGAUGGAGCUGAAAUCAGUCGAAGAUACCAGCUGGCUGCAACUGUUUAUUAAAAACACAGCACUGUGCAAACACGAAAGUGGACGUAUACGGUGUGACGCCUGCCCGGUGCCGGAAGGUUAAUUGAUGGGGUCAGCGCAAGCGAAGCUCUUGAUCGAAGCCCCGGUAAACGGCGGCCGUAACUAUAACGGUCCUAAGGUAGCGAAAUUCCUUGUCGGGUAAGUUCCGACCUGCACGAAUGGCGUAAUGAUGGCCAGGCUGUCUCCACCCGAGACUCAGUGAAAUUGAACUCGCUGUGAAGAUGCAGUGUACCCGCGGCAAGACGGAAAGACCCCGUGAACCUUUACUAUAGCUUGACACUGAACAUUGAGCCUUGAUGUGUAGGAUAGGUGGGAGGCUUAGAAGUGUGGACGCCAGUCUGCAUGGAGCCGACCUUGAAAUACCACCCUUUAAUGUUUGAUGUUCUAACGUUGACCCGUAAUCCGGGUUGCGGACAGUGUCUGGUGGGUAGUUUGACUGGGGCGGUCUCCUCCUAAAGAGUAACGGAGGAGCACGAAGGUUGGCUAAUCCUGGUCGGACAUCAGGAGGUUAGUGCAAUGGCAUAAGCCAGCUUGACUGCGAGCGUGACGGCGCGAGCAGGUGCGAAAGCAGGUCAUAGUGAUCCGGUGGUUCUGAAUGGAAGGGCCAUCGCUCAACGGAUAAAAGGUACUCCGGGGAUAACAGGCUGAUACCGCCCAAGAGUUCAUAUCGACGGCGGUGUUUGGCACCUCGAUGUCGGCUCAUCACAUCCUGGGGCUGAAGUAGGUCCCAAGGGUAUGGCUGUUCGCCAUUUAAAGUGGUACGCGAGCUGGGUUUAGAACGUCGUGAGACAGUUCGGUCCCUAUCUGCCGUGGGCGCUGGAGAACUGAGGGGGGCUGCUCCUAGUACGAGAGGACCGGAGUGGACGCAUCACUGGUGUUCGGGUUGUCAUGCCAAUGGCACUGCCCGGUAGCUAAAUGCGGAAGAGAUAAGUGCUGAAAGCAUCUAAGCACGAAACUUGCCCCGAGAUGAGUUCUCCCUGACUCCUUGAGAGUCCUGAAGGAACGUUGAAGACGACGACGUU